AUGCAACUCAUAUCUGGUGGUCAGAUUGUUGACUCUAGUUGUAGGGUCACUCGAGAUUUUGAUUCGUGUUCUGUUCAGGAUCGUCGCACGGGCGCUCUGCUUGGUGCUGGCCCUCAACGCUCCGAUGGUCUUUGGGAGCUUGACUGGCUUCGUCUUCCCUCCCCUGCCAACGCCACCAGUCUUGCAACCCCUGUUGUUGCAUCUACCAGCUCUUUUAAGCAGUGGCAUCAUCGUCUUGGCCAUUUAUGUGGUUCUCGUCUCUCAUCCUUGAUUCAUCGCGGUGUUCUAGGGUCUGUCUCCGGUAAUGCUUCGUUGGAUUGUCUGGGUUGUAGGCUUGGUAAGCAGAUUCAACUACCUUAUCCUCACAGUGAGCCAGUGUCCGAGCGCCCUUUUGAUCUCAUUCACUCUGAUGUUUGGGGUUCGGCUCCCUUUUGCUUCGAAAGGGGGUCAUCACUACUAUAUUAUCUUUAUAGAUGA
rnacentral:rRNA from 1 species